rnacentral:rRNA from 1 species
AGUUGGCGGGGUAACAGCCCACCAAGGCGACGAUGGUUAGCUGGUCUGAGAGGAUGAUCAGCCACACUGGAACUGACACACGGUCCAGACUCCUACGGGAGGCAGCAGUGAGGAAUUUUGCGCAAUGGGCGGAAGCCUGACGCAGCAACGCCGCGUGAGUGAAGAAGGCCUUCGGGUCGUAAAGCUCUGUCAUAUGGGAAGAACCUGUGCAUGGUAAACAAGUGUGCACACUGGACGGGUACCCAUGAAGGAAGCACCGGCUUUUAACUCCGUGCCAGCAGCCGCGGUAAUACGGAGGGUGCGAGCGUUAUUCGGAAUUAUUGGGCGUAAAGAGCACGUAGGCGGCAGUGCAAGUCAGGUGUGAAACCCGGGGCUUAACCUCGGAAGCGCAUUUGAAACUGUGCUGCUUGAGUAUGGGAGAGGGAAGUGGAAUUCCUGGUGUAGCGGUGAAAUGCGUAGAUAUCAGGAGGAACACCGGUGGCGAAGGCGACUUCCUGGACCAAUACUGACGCUGAGGUGCGAAGGCGUGGGUAGCAAACAGGAUUAGAUACCCUGGUAGUCCACGCAGUAAACGGUGAUCACUAGGUGUAGCGGGUAUUGACCCCUGCUGUGCCGCAGUUAACGCAUUAAGUGAUCCGCCUGGGGAGUACGGCCGCAAGGUUAAAACUCAAAGGAAUUGACGGGGGCCCGCACAAGCGGUGGAGCAUGUGGUUUAAUUCGACGCAACGCGAAGAACCUUACCUGGAUUUGACAUCUGCGGGAGUGCUAUGAAAGUAGGAUGUGCCCUUCGGGGAGCCGCAAGACAGGUGCUGCAUGGCUGUCGUCAGCUCGUGUCGUGAGAUGUUGGGUUAAGUCCCGCAACGAGCGCAACCCUUGUCUUUAGUUACCAGCAUUUCGGAUGGGGACUCUAAAGAAACUGCCCCGGUUAACGGGGAGGAAGGUGGGGAUGACGUCAAGUCCUCAUGGCCUUUAUGUCCAGGGCUACACACGUGCUACAAUGGGUUGUACAAAGGGUAGCGAGCCUGUGAAGGAGAGCCAAUCCCAUAAAGCAGCCCCAAGUUCGGAUUGGAGUCUGCAACUCGACUCCAUGAAGCUGGAAUCGCUAGUAAUCGCGGAUCAGCAUGCCGCGGUGAUACGUUCCCGGGCCUUGUACACACCGCCCGUCACACCAUGAGAGUUGGUUGACCCGACGUCACCGGGCUAACCUUUUUAUAAAGGGGGCAGGUGCCUAAGGUAU